AAAGAAGACCUUAUUCUCAGCUGCAACCUAACAAUGCUUCCCGCACAUGCACAUGCCCUUCAUAUGAGCCUUUUUCUAGCACUGCUUGCCAUGGUAGGUUGGGAUCAAGAGGACAGAUUAGCUAUACACAGCCAUGCUCCAGCGCUAUUUGCCUCUUUCUUAGGAGCAGUCAACUGCAAGUCGCAGACAUCCCACCACCCAAGCUAGACUGCCCAAGAAAUGGAUUUGUUUUUGUGAAGAUGUUUCUGUUUCUUUGUCUGCUAAAGCCAUACGUAUUUCACAACGGAAAAAUAAAUGUUCUUGGUGACGGUUGCCUGCUGUGGCUGGUAGCCCACUGGGAGAUUCUGAGUAGGCCCUACUGCAAGGUGACUAAAUGGCUUUGAAAGACUCUCAAGAAUGGAAACAUUGAUGUUUAUGCUUGAUUUCUGCCCUAAUAUUUGGAUGUGAUCUCCUGAUUUUGAGGCAGGGUGGGGGAAGUUUCCUAAAUCUAAUAAGGAUGUGAGCUGGAGAGCAAGAAUCUCGGAAAAGACUGCCGUUUUGCCUUGUUCUUAGAGAAUCAUUUUUGGUCCAAGUACAAAACCACGACUGAGAGACAGUUCUGUUGGCCUGGGAGGGAAUGGGGAGAGAGACAUUUAAGAGAAAUGUGUCUGUCUGGCUCCUGCUAAAUAUUACAAAACAAUUAACACAGAAUACAAGGACAUUCUUUAGCUGUUGUCCCAGUGUUCUGACAACGUCUUUGGAGGCUAAUAGGCAUCUUUGUUAACCAGUUAAAUAAUUUACUACACCUCGAUAUUGAAAAAAUGCAUGUGGAACAAAUUACGAUAUCCAUAAAAUGGUGAUGGUUGUUUCCCUUUAUUUUUUAAAUCAAAAGCGAACCCUCAUUACAUGACACAGUUGCUAACAUAAUAU
ensembl:lncRNA